UGCGGCCCUUGCUUUCUCUGUGGCUCAAGGCCCGCCCGGGUCUGCGUGCUCCUCCUCGGUUACCUGUUUGGUCCCCUUUCACUAACUCCUCCACACGGCGGGGACAGGCAGGGUCACGGAGGGAAGAAACAGGAGAAUGACAGGACCCCGCAGCGGCUGUGACUCGCGAAGUCCUGGCCGCCUGUCCCCACAUCACAGCCGGUAGGGGGGUGGGGGAGGGUCUGGACCGGGACUCCCUCGCGCCACGCGGUCACGCAGGUGGACCCAGAGGUCUCCGCCCGCUGCGCCACAAGGGCCGAGUGGAGCACCGCCCCUGAGGGCGCCCGGAAGCAGUAGGAGCCGCUGCCAGGCGCCCCCGUGAGGCACCUCGCCGCCGCUGGGAGGAAACUGAGGCCCUGAGCUCAGAAGGGACUGCUCCUUCCAAACUGGGAAAGGGAUUGCUUCAUCUGAUGCAUAGAAACCAGCACAGAGAGUCCAGCAGGACGAAGAAAACACAACUGCAUUGCCGUGCGGGAAACCAGCAACCCUGCAUGUCCUGUGGGUGAAGCUGCUGCCCUUGGGCUCACCUUCCCAGAGCCCCCCUGUGCAGACUGCUGGCUAUUAGCAAGAGGGGAUUUGAUGUCCCUCUCAUCUUGGGAUGCAGAUCUUUCAGUUGUGUUUUAUCUUCAAAUAAAAAAGAGAAACUGCUUCCAGAGCCCAGAGGGACCACUGUAACCACAGGAUCACCAUGACCAUCUCUUUGGCCCCAGGAAAGGGCCCACUCAGGUAGCAUCAGACUGGAUGAGGGACUUCCAAAUGGAACAACAUGUUGCUACUGUGUCCUGGAAGGUCCAACUGUCUCCACUUACAAGGGUCUUAUGUAUCUCCAUAAGGUUUGAGAAAACAGUGCAGCUUGAAAGAAUGGAGCCACAAUUAGAAAGCUAGGACUCUUUUGGAGGUCAGAAGGAUGGGAGAAUUGGUUGUGAGAACAAUGUGGAUACUGAUGGAGAAAAUACAAGGUGGGCCAGAGUGGCCAUUGAUUUUCUUCCUUCGGUUUCUGAGAAAGCUUUGCUCCCUAGGCAUCUUUAUCCGGCUUGCUGACCGAAGCAUUAUUCACACUUCUCCUGUGGCCAUGAGGGUGAGACAGCUGCUGCUAGGGACUCCAGGCUCCUACCUCUGAAGGACAGUGGACUAAAUUUCUGACAGGGGCCAUGAGACACCUUUGAGGGAAAGAGAUGUAAGAGCUCUGAUCUCUGAGGACAUAAAGGCUCUCACAGGUGCUUGCUUUA